rnacentral:rRNA from 1 species
UGGGGAAUAUUGCACAAUGGGCGCAAGCCUGAUGCAGCCAUGCCGCGUGUGUGAAGAAGGCCUUCGGGUUGUAAAGCACUUUCAGCGAGGAGGAAGGUGGUGGACUUAAUACGUUCAUCAAUUGACGUUACCCGCAGAAGAAGCACCGGCUAACUCCGUGCCAGCAGCCGCGGUAAUACGGGGGGUGCAAGCGUUAAUCGGAAUUACUGGGCGUAAAGCGCACGCAGGCGGUUUGUUAAGUCAGAUGUGAAAUCCCGGGCUCAACCUGGGAACUGCAUUUGAAACUGGCAAGCUAGAGUCUCGUAGAGGGGGGUAGAAUUCCAGGUGUAGCGGUGAAAUGCGUAGAGAUCUGGAGGAAUACCGGUGGCGAAGGCGGCCCCCUGGACGAAGACUGACGCUCAGGUGCGAAAGCGUGGGGCAGCAAACAGGAUUAGAUACCCUGGUAGUCCACGCUGUAAAACGAUGUCGAUUUGGAGGCUGUGCCCUUGAGGCGUGGCUUCCGGAGCUAACGCGUUAAAUCGACCGCCUGGGGAGUACGGCCGCAAGGUUAAAACUUAAAGGGAAUUGACGGGGUCCUAGCUG